rnacentral:lncRNA from 1 species
UCCCCAUGCUGCCUUAUCAUCACCUGAUAAUUAAAAAGGUAUCAUCUCAGUCCAGCUCUGGGGGCUAGAGUUACAGAAAGACUAGAAUAAUGACAAAGUGCUACAAAUAUCCAGAGCGCUGUUACACAGAUAUGAAGAUCCAGGAUGGCUGCUUCUUUUACCUUCACAUUUUCAGAAGUUUCCUAGGAGACUGGUUAGCUCUGUGCCUUAACACCGAAGGAGCCAAAGAAACACCAAAAUGAGUGCAAAUUGACAAUACAGAAUGGAUGGAGAAUGGGAGGAUAUAUCUGGAGGAA